rnacentral:rRNA from 1 species
AAUUUUGAGAGUUUGAUCAUGGCUCAGGAUUAACGCUGGCGGUAUGCCUAAUACAUGCAAGUCGAACGGGGUAGCAAUACUUAGUGGCAAACGGGUGAGUAAUACGUAUUUAAUCUGCCCUUAAGAGAGGAACAACUAGUCGAAAGAUUAGCUAAUACCUCAUAGGAAAUAAGAAGGCAUCUUUUUAUUUUUAAAGUUGCGUUUGCAACGCUUUAGGAUGAGAGUGCGGUUUAUCAGAUAGUUGGUGAGGUAAUGGCUCACCAAGUCGAUGACAGAUAGCUAUGCUGAGAGGUAGAAUAGCCACAAUGGGAUUGAGAUACGGCCCUUACUCCUACGGGAGGCAGCAGUAGGGAAUUUUUCACAAUGGGCGCAAGCCUGAUGGAGCAAUACCGCGUGGAUGAUGAAGGUUUUUGAAUUGUAAAAUCCUUUUAUUGGGGACGAACGAUAUCAUUAGGAAAUGAAUGAUAAGUGACUGUACCCUUUGAAUAAGUAACGACAAACUUCGUGCCAGCAGUCGCGGUAAUACGAAGGUUACAAGCGUUAUCCGGAUUUACUGGGCGUAAAGAGAGCGCGGGCGGAUUUGAAAGUCGGGUGUUAAAUGCUGUUGCUUAACGAUAGUGUGCAUUCGAUACUACAAAUCUAGAGUGUGAUGGGAAAUUUCGGAACUCAAUGUGGAGCGGUGGAAUGCGUAGAUAUAUUGAAGAACACCAGUGGCGAAAGCGGAAAUUUAUGUCAUUACUGACGCUUAUGCUCGAAAGUGUGGGGAGCAAAUAGGAUUAGAUACCCUAGUAGUCCACACCGUAAACGAUGAUUAUUAGCUGUCUAAAUAUUUAUUUUUAGGUAGCGUAGCUAACGCGUUAAAUAAUCCGCCUAGGUAGUAUAUUCGCAAGAAUGAAACUUAAACUGAAUUGACGGGGACUCGCACAAGUGGUGGAGUAUGUUGUUUAAUUCGUCACUACACGCUAACCUUACCUGGGUUUGACAUCCUUAGCAAAGCUAUAGAAAUAUAGUGGAGGUUAACUGAGAGACAGGUGGUGCAUGGUUGUCGUCAGCUCGUGUCGUGAGAUGUUGGGUUAAGUUCCGCAACGAGCGCAACCCUUACUGUUAGUUAAUUUAUCUAACGGGACCGCCGUCGCAAGACGGAGGAAGGUGGGGACGACGUCAAAUCCUCACGCCCCUUAUACCCAGGGCUACAAACGUACUACAAUGGUCGGUACAAAGCGUUGCAAAAUCGCAAGAUCAAGCUAAUCGCAUAAAGCCGAUCUCAGUUCAGAUUGAGGGCUGCAACUCGCCCUCAUGAAGUUGGAAUCACUAGUAAUCGCAGAUCAGCGGGCUGCGGUGAAUACGUUCUCGGGUCUUGUACACACCGCCCGUCGCACUAUGGGAGCUGUUAAUGCUUAAUACCGUUGUUGCUAACCGCAAGGAGGCAGACGAUUAGAGUAGGAACGGUAACUGGAGUUAAGUCGUAACAAGGUACCCCUACGAGAACGUGGGGGUGGAUCACCUCCUUU